GUAUAUCUGAAAAAGUUGAUAAUUCAUUAUGCGAAAAUGGAGAAUCGGAUAUUAUAACGCAUCCUGUGUCUGAACAGCACAAUGAACCACAAAAAAAUUUGGAAGAUGAGGACAAUGCCACCGGAAAAACAAAUAAAGACAAUGGUGCCGAGAAAGAGUUCGAUGUUUUACCUGAUAAAGAUGAACAAACCAUAGUAAUUGGGUCCGAAAUUUCUGAAUCUGGACAUAGAUUUUCAGGUGAACAAGACGUCGAAAUUCCUGUCAGUUCUGCCCCUCCAAAGGAAUUAGAUGGCCUAAUAGAACUAUCGGAUUUGAGCA